rnacentral:rRNA from 1 species
AGCUCUAAUAGCGUAUAUUAAAGUUGUUGCGGUUAAAAAGCUCGUAGUUGGAUCUCAGUUCCAGGCGGGUGGUCCGCCUAACGGUGGUCACUGCCCGUACUGAACAACUAGCCGGUUUCCCUCGAUGAUCUUCGCCGGUUGUCUUGGGUGACCGGCACGUUUACUUUGAAAAAAUUAGAGUGCUCAAAGCAGGCGCGACGCCUGAAUAAUGGUGCAUGGAAUAAUGGAAUAGGACCUCGGUACUAUUUUGUUGGUUUUCGGAACACGAGGUAAUGAUUAAGAGGGACAGACGGGGGCAUUCGUAUUGCGACGCUAGAGGUGAAAUUCUUGGACCGUCGCAAGACGAACUACUGCGAAAGCAUUUGCCAAGAAUGUUUUCA